rnacentral:rRNA from 1 species
UGGGGAAUUUUGGACAAUGGGGGAAACCCUGAUCCAGCCAUCCCGCGUGUGCGAUGAAGGCCUUCGGGUUGUAAAGCACUUUUGGCAGGAAAGAAACGUCAUGGGUUAAUACCCCGUGAAACUGACGGUACCUGCAGAAUAAGCACCGGCUAACUACGUGCCAGCAGCCGCGGUAAUACGUAGGGUGCAAGCGUUAAUCGGAAUUACUGGGCGUAAAGCGUGCGCAGCCGGUUCGGAAAGAAAGAUGUGAAAUCCCAGAGCUCAACUUUGGAACUGCAUUUUUAACUACCGGGCUAGAGUGUGUCAGAGGGAGGUGGAAUUCCGCGUGUAGCAGUGAAAUGCGUAGAUAUGCGGAGGAACACCGAUGGCGAAGGCAGCCUCCUGGGAUAACACUGACGCUCAUGCACGAAAGCGUGGGGAGCAAACAGG